rnacentral:rRNA from 1 species
AUUGAACGCUGGCGGCAGGCCUAACACAUGCAAGUCGAGCGGAUGAAGGGAGCUUGCUCCUGGAUUCAGCGGCGGACGGGUGAGUAAUGCCUAGGAAUCUGCCUGGUAGUGGGGGAUAACGUCCGGAAACGGGCGCUAAUACCGCAUACGUCCUGAGGGAGAAAGUGGGGGAUCUUCGGACCUCACGCUAUCAGAUGAGCCUAGGUCGGAUUAGCUAGUUGGUGGGGUAAAGGCCUACCAAGGCGACGAUCCGUAACUGGUCUGAGAGGAUGAUCAGUCACACUGGAACUGAGACACGGUCCAGACUCCUACGGGAGGCAGCAGUGGGGAAUAUUGGACAAGGGCGAAAGCCUGAUCCAGCCAUGCCGCGUGUGUGAAGAAGGUCUUCGGAUUGUAAAGCACUUUAAGUUGGGAGGAAGGGCAGUAAGUUAAUACCUUGCUGUUUUGACGCUACCAACAGAAUAAGCACCGGCUAACUUCGUG